rnacentral:rRNA from 1 species
GACGAACGCUGGCGGCGUGCUUAACACAUGCAAGUCGAACGAUGAUCCGGUGCUUGCACCGGGGAUUAGUGGCGAACGGGUGAGUAACACGUGAGUAACCUGCCCUUGACUCUGGGAUAAGCCUGGGAAACCGGGUCUAAUACCGGAUACGACCUUUCACCGCAUGGUGGUUGGUGGAAAGAUUUUUUGGUUUUGGAUGGACUCGCGGCCUAUCAGCUUGUUGGUGAGGUAAUGGCUCACCAAGGCGACGACGGGUAGCCGGCCUGAGAGGGUGACCGGCCACACUGGGACUGAGACACGGCCCAGACUCCUACGGGAGGCAGCAGUGGGGAAUAUUGCACAAUGGGCGAAAGCCUGAUGCAGCGACGCCGCGUGAGGGAUGACGGCCUUCGGGUUGUAAACCUCUUUCAGCAGGGAAGAAGCGAAAGUGACGGUACCUGCAGAAGAAGCGCCGGCUAACUACGUGCCAGCAGCCGCGGUAAUACGUAGGGCGCAAGCGUUGUCCGGAAUUAUUGGGCGUAAAGAGCUCGUAGGCGGUUUGUCGCGUCUGCUGUGAAAGCCCGGGGCUCAACCCCGGGUCUGCAGUGGGUACGGGCAGACUAGAGUGCAGUAGGGGAGACUGGAAUUCCUGGUGUAGCGGUGAAAUGCGCAGAUAUCAGGAGGAACMCCGAUGGCGAAGGCAGGUCUCUGGGCUGUAACUGACGCUGAGGAGCGAAAGCAUGGGGAGCGAACAGGAUUAGAUACCCUGGUAGUCCAUGCCGUAAACGUUGGGCACUAGGUGUGGGGGACAUUCCACGUUUUCCGCGCCGUAGCUAACGCAUUAAGUGCCCCGCCUGGGGAGUACGGCCGCAAGACUAAAACUCAAAGGAAUUGACGGGGGCCCGCACAAGCGGCGGAGCAUGCGGAUUAAUUCGAUGGCAMCGCGAAGAACCUUACCAAGGCUUGACAUGGACCGGACCGCCGCAGAAAUGCGGUUUCCCUUCGGGGCCGGUUUACAGGUGGUGCAUGGUUGUCGUCAGCUCGUGUCGUGAGAUGUUGGGUUAAGUCCCGCAACGAGCGCAACCCUCGUUCUAUGUUGCCAGCGCGUGAUGGCGGGGACUCAUAGGAGACUGCCGGGGUCAACUCGGAGGAAGGUGGGGACGACGUCAAAUCAUCAUGCCCCUUAUGUCUUGGGCUUCACGCAUGCUACAAUGGCCGGUACAAAGGGUUGCGAUACUGUGAGGUGGAGCUAAUCCCAAAAAGCCGGUCUCAGUUCGGAUUGAGGUCUGCAACUCGACCUCAUGAAGUCGGAGUCGCUAGUAAUCGCAGAUCAGCAACGCUGCGGUGAAUACGUUCCCGGGCCUUGUACACACCGCCCGUCAAGUCACGAAAGUUGGUAACACCCGAAGCCGGUGGCCUAACCCCUUGGGGAGGGAGCCGUCGAAGGUGGGACCGGCGAUUGGGACU